rnacentral:rRNA from 1 species
CCUACGGGAGGCAGCAGUGGGGGAUAUUGCACAAUGGGGGAAACCCUGAUGCAGCGACGCCGCGUGAGUGAAGAAGUAUUUCGGUAUGUAAAGCUCUAUCAGCAGGGAAGAAAAUGACAGUACCUGACCAAGAAGCCCCGGCUAACUACGUGCCAGCAGCCGCGGUAAUACGUAGGGGGCAAGCGUUAUCCGGAUUUACUGGGUGUAAAGGGAGCGUAGACGGUUAUGUAAGUCUGGAGUGAAAGCCCGGGGCCCAACCCCGGGACUGCUUUGGAAACUGUGUAACUGGAGUACAGGAGGGGCAGGCGGAAUUCCUGGUGUAGCGGUGAAAUGCUUAGAUAUUGCGCAGAACUCCGAUUGCGAAGGCAGCAUACCGGCGGCGAUCUGACGCUGAGGCACGAAAGCGUGGGUAUCGAACAGGAUUAGAUACCCCUGUAGUC